AGAGUUUGAUCAUGGCUCAGGACGAACGCUGGCGGCGUGCUUAACACAUGCAAGUCGAACGGUAAGGCCCCUUCGGGGGUACACGAGUGGCGAACGGGUGAGUAACACGUGAGCAACCUGCCCUUGACUCCGGGAUAACAGUUGGAAACAGCUGCUAAUACCGGAUACGACCUUCGAUGACAUCAUCUGGAGGUGGAAAGCGCUUUAGCGGUCAAGGAUGGGCUCGCGGCCUAUCAGCUUGUUGGUGAGGUAACGGCUCACCAAGGCUUCGACGGGUAGCCGGCCUGAGAGGGCGACCGGCCACACUGGGACUGAGAUACGGCCCAGACUCCUACGGGAGGCAGCAGUGGGGAAUAUUGCACAAUGGGCGCAAGCCUGAUGCAGCAACGCCGCGUGCGGGAUGACGGCCUUCGGGUUGUAAACCGCUUUCAGUUCCGACGAAGCGCAAGUGACGGUAGGAACAGAAGAAGGACCGGCCAACUACGUGCCAGCAGCCGCGGUG
rnacentral:rRNA from 1 species